rnacentral:rRNA from 1 species
CAAUGGCUGCGGUAUUUUGACUGUACAAAGGUAGCAUAAUCAUUAGUUUCUUAAUUAGAAGCUGGUAUGAAUGGCUUAAUGAGAAAAAAGCUGUCUCUAAUUAAAUUUUAUUGAACUUUAUUUUUGAGUUAAAAAGCUUAAAUUUUGUUUAAAGACGAGAAGACCCUAUAGAGUUUUAUAAUUAGAUAAAAUUUUAAAUUUAGGAAUUAAGAUUUAUAUAAUUUUUGAUAUUUAUUUUAUUGGGGUGAUGAGAAAAUUUAAUAAACUUUUCUUUUUAUUUUACAUUGAUAUAUGAUUAAUUGAUCCAUUAUUAGUGAUUAUAAGAUUAAAUUACCUUAGGGAUAACAGCGUAAUUUUUUUGGAGAGUUCUAAUCGAUAAAAAAGUUUGCGACCUCGAUGUUGGAUUAAAAUUUACUAUCGGCGCAGAAGUUGAUAAGUUGGGUCUGUUCGACCUUUAAAAUUUUACAUGAUCUGAGUUUAAACCGGUGUGAGCCAGGUUGGUUUCUAUCUUUAAUUUAUUUUGAUGUUUUAGUACGAAAGGACCGGGCAUUAGUAUAAAAUAUUUUUUUAUUUGAAUUUUAUUGUUACUUUGGCAGAUUAGUGCAUUAAAUUUAGAAUUUAAGUAUGUAUGUUUAUACAGGUAAUACUUGAUAAUAAUUGAUUAUUUGUUAAUAAUAAUUAGUAUAAUUAUUUUAAUUAUUUGUGUACUAGUAGGGGUU